rnacentral:rRNA from 1 species
CCCAGGAGCCACCAGUGGCAACCAUUUUUAUUGGGCCUAAAGCGUCCGUAGCCUGUUUAGUGAAUUUUCUGUGAAAUCGUUAUGCUCAACGUAACGGAAUGCAGAAAAGACUACUUAACUUGGGACCGGGAGGCGUCAGAGGUAUUCCUAAGGGAGCGGUAAAAUGCUAUAAUCUUAGGAGGACCUCCAGUGGCGAAGGCGUCUGACGAGAACGGAUCCGACGGUGAGGGACGAAAGCCAGGGGAGCGAACCGG